AUCUGAACAGGAUCUGCAAAAUGGGAGCUGCUGAAAAAUGAUUUGCAAAGAGUUGCAAAAUACCUCAAGGUCCCUUCCUGCUGUCCUAGUGAGCAUAAUCUGCUCUGAAGUAGUUACACCUGUGGUCACUUAAUCAACGAGAUGAAGGGUAAACUUUUAAAAGAUUUUCAAGAGCUCAGUUUCUUUUGCUAGUUUCCUGGUUUGGUAGCAGCUGAUAGCAGUAGCUGCUGGGUUUGUGGGUUCUUGCUGCUGAAGCCAUGAGGUUUUUAUUAAGAUGGCUGUUGUUGUUACUACUAACUGUUGGAAGUCAUCAAGCAAACGAUUCAAGUAGUCGUUACCUCAGGGGGAAUGCUUCAUGGCGCAGUGAAUCACUUGCUACUCAUACUUUAACCUUGAAUGCAAAGGUAGCAAAGUCCGGUUUGCAGUCACGGGUCCCCCGGCAGCAGCAUCAACCUCAGGCACCCAUUCAGCGUAUAUGCCGGCUCAGCUCAAAGACUUUAUGCCUUCCUAAGAAGCCCCAGCAGUUCACCAGUCCACUCCAGCUGCCCAGACAGCAGGUUGACUCCCUAUCUUGGGGAACCCAGCCAAAGUGGAAGCCUUCCUGCCUGCCCAAGCACUUCUGCCAAUCCAAGGAGCCUCGGGUGUCCCAUCAGCCUGGUUCUCCACUCAGGCUGCCUGGUUUCCUGUCCCAGUGGCCCCAGUGGCCUGACCGUCCACUUUACCAGCUCCAGAGACCCCACUAUCCGGCCAAGUGGCCACUAUACUCACUCCAGAUGCCUCAGUACCAUGCAAAAUGGCCACACUUCCUGCCUUACUACCAGUCCAAGAGUCCACACUACAUGACUGUGUUGCCUAUCUACAGGGGGAAAGUUAUUGGUCUACCCAGCAAAGCAACUUCAGUAUCCCCAGCAGGCACAGAAGGUGGUGCUAAUGUAAUAGCCACACAAAGGGACCAAUGGGCAUGGUAUGUAGGAAAACGAUUAAUGAGAUAACUGGUUUUCAAUGGCCUUUAUUCAUGAAUGCUUUCUGUUAGGCACAGCAAUGUUGAGCCUUCUGAAUCAUUGUACUGACCUUUCCAAUUAAAAUAACUUUCAUCUUGACUCUGUAAGCAUUAAUUGAAUGAUUUGGUAAUAAAGUUUGAUAAGGUGUGUGUAUGAUGCCAACACAUAAUGCUUUCCUUCUGUUAAGAGUUAAAAUUUGUAGAAACUUGUAUACAAAGCAGAUUGAAAUUUUACACUGCAGAUAAAAGAGAUGCUGUGGAAUAGCUCUCCCAGAGAUUAAU
ensembl:lncRNA